GUUUGCCGCGUGCUUACCAUGCAAGUCGAGCGAUGAAACCCUUCGGGGUGGAUUAGCGGCGGACGGGUGAGUAACACGUGGGUAACCUGCCUCAAAGAGGGGGAUAGCCUCCCGAAAGGGAGAUUAAUACCGCAUAAUAUUAGUUUUUCGCAUGGAGAACUAAUUAAAGGAGUAAUCCGCUUUGAGAUGGACCCGCGGCGCAUUAGCUAGUUGGUGAGGUAACGGCUCACCAAGGCGACGAUGCGUAGCCGACCUGAGAGGGUGAUCGGCCACAUUGGAACUGAGACACGGUCCAGACUCCUACGGGAGGCAGCAGUGGGGAAUAUUGCACAAUGGGCGAAAGCCUGAUGCAGCAACGCCGCGUGAGUGAUGAAGGCCUUCGGGUUGUAAAGCUCUGUCUUUUGGGACGAUAAUGACGGUACCAAAGGAGGAAGCUACGGCUAACUACGUGCCAGCAGCCGCGGUAAUACGUAGGUGGCAAGCGUUGUCCGGAUUUACUGGGCGUAAAGGAUGCGUAGGCGGAUUUUUAAGUCAGAUGUGAAAUACCCGAGCUUAACUUGGGUGCUGCAUUUGAAACUGGAAGUCUAGAGUGCGGGAGAGGAGAGUGGAAUUCCUAGUGUAGCGGUGAAAUGCGUAGAGAUUAGGAAGAACACCAGUGGCGAAGGCGACUCUCUGGACCGUAACUGACGCUGAGGCAUGAAAGCGUGGGUAGCAAACAGGAUUAGAUACCCUGGUAGUCCACGCCGUAACGAUGAGUACUACGUGUAGGAGGUAUCGACUCCUUCUGUGCCGCAGUUAACACAAUAAGUACUCCCGCCUGGGAAGUACGAUCGCAAGAUUAAUAACCUCCA
rnacentral:rRNA from 1 species